UGAAGUAUAUAAUGAAAGUUACAAAAAUGCAACGAUAGAAGCAUUUUUAAAUUAAGUUUAAGCUUUUAUCCUUAAGGUGUGUUUUCAAGUGAUCGAAACUUCAUUUGGCUUUUCACAAGCUUUUUAUAUACUUUCAUUUAUCUUGUCAUUCAUUUCCUCAUUUUUGAAUUUCUUCCUUUAACAACUCAGUGAAUCUUCUAAUCUUCAUUUCUUUUGGUUUUACUUUUCUAUGCUCUAUACUCUAUUUGCUCCCUAUCCGGUGGAGUUGGAAGGGGCACGAGGUACUACCACUAGCCUCCCUCUUGUGCCGUCCCUAAUAUGCCCUACACCGAAAAGUUGGGUCAAAUAGUGCCGGGUACUACCACUAGCCUCCCCAUUGGCACCA
rnacentral:lncRNA from 1 species